rnacentral:lncRNA from 1 species
CGGGUUGAAGCGAUUCUCCUGCCUCAGCUGCUGAGUAGCUGGGAUUACAGGUGUGGCAUCUGGCAUGAAACCAAGGACAAGACACUCAGUUGAGCUUUGUGAAAGAGUGACAGAUGAUGGAUAGAGUCAUGGGCCUGCCUCUUAUGGAGCUAAGAAAUGAAAUCUGGAUACGGAGGCCUGAGUACCUCAGAGAAGCCAAGGUUCCUGCAGGAACCUCGUGCCUGCUGUCCACGUUGGGCUUCAUUUUAUCAAAAUACAGCAAAGAGCUCAUCAUUUCUCAGCUCCUGUCGGAAGCAACAGUGGCUGUUCCUGGACACAGAGCUGCAGACAAGGAGUGGUGAGGAUUCAGGCAAGAGAAGAUGGGCAGCUUCCCCUUCAUGCUUCCCUCUCAGGAAGAAGCCAGGGUGCCUGGGAUCAAAGAGGCUAGGAGGCUGGUGAGGCCUCCUGUCCCUGAAAGCGGUCAGUGAACCCAAAAGUUGAAAAGCCUCUGCUUUGAGAGUGGUUCUGCUGCCCUACUGGUGCUGACAGUUUUAGAAACUGACAUGGCAGAGCUGACCAGGCAGACUAUAUUUUUAGGACUCUGCUGGGGCCUAUUGAAACGUCCACAUUACUCAGAUCACCAAUCUGGCUGGAGCUACCAACACAGCAUUCUUUGCUGUUUUAGAAUACAAAGCUACCUCCCCUCGGGGCUUCACUUUGCAGCCACUGAGAAUCCAAGGCUUCGCUAAAUUACACGUUUCCAUGGUCCCACUGGCUUGCUUUGCAGGGCUUCCACAAGAAUGGGCUGGGAGCGUAACUGAGUAACUGAGUCAUGAUUAGGGGUUAAUUAAGAGGAGAAAUGGGCUAGCUGUUUCCUAAGAUAAGGGAGGGGAAGUUUUUUUAAAAACUGUAACUGCUCAGAACAGUAUGUGCUAAGGCAGACUUUCUGUGCUGGGAGACAGAACACUUCUGCAGUGAUGUAGCAGAAUCCUUAAAGGAUCCUGCCAAUGACUCUUUUUUUCUGGUGUCACAUCCAAUCUUUGCUGCAGCCAACACUUCCUGGAGAUGAAACACAACUUCAAUACAGAGAUAGCAAGUUCACACUCUGGCAGUCAUGCAAGGAUGAGUGAUGCGGGCCUUUUCUAAAGUCUCACUCUGUCACCCAGACUGGACCACAG